AUAAAAUACCAAAAACAAAUAUAAUUUCAGCCAAAUAACGUCUAUUAAAAAGGAGGAAGAAUUCGAAAUUAUUCUCCUAACCCUCGUUGAAACCGUCCUCCACUUCUCCCACAAAUCUCUCCCAUAUCCCCAACCCCCUUCCCACUAUAUUAAAUCCUAUAUCAGUUAUUCCUUCCCUAAAUCGUUCUCUGCAGUCAAUCCGUCUUCUUCAACUUCUAUCCAAGUAAUCAAAAUUCUCCAGCCCCAAGAACCUGCUUCAGUCGUGUGAACUUCAACCAAAAUUCAAUUCAAAGGGGUAUAUUUCCUACCCAAUUUUAAAACGUGAAUUACUGCAUUCUGCUCCAUACACAUCAUUAUACUUCACUCCCCACACAAUUUAAUCCACAAGCAUCACCGAUCAAAUCGCACAGUCAAAACCAAUCGCAACUUUUAAAAUCAAACCAGGAACAGAAAGAAACAACCUUGAAUAAGAACCGAUCACUUCGGUUGAAAUCGGGGUUAAUCGGGGCUGCGUGGUAUCUGUUCGGGGUUGGUUUGGUGAUGAGCGAUGGAUGAAUUGGACGACGGCAGCGGCGGCUCGGCUGAAUUGGGCGACAGCAGCCUCUUCCCGACGAGCAGUAGCAGCAGCGGCGCGGAUCUGUGCAGUGGCAGCGGCUUCUCCCGGCGACGUACGGAGGGCGGCGGUCGACGGCGGAGGUGGAAGGCGACGCCAGAGCUGCUGCAAUCCUUAAUUUUGUCGAAAGAGAGAAAGAUAGGGAGAGAGAGGUAGCGUGUAGAUGAUGGGGAAUGUUUGGGCUCACUUUGGAAUUUGGGCCUCUUUAAUAAAAAAAGGUGCUUAUUA